rnacentral:rRNA from 1 species
AUGGAAUGCACUUGGAUACAUUUGUCCGGCUACGAUGGCCAAAGGUGUAUCAACUACCUUCUAGGGAUGUCCUUUCUUCGGAUUCCAGGAUCCGCUUCGGUCAGUCCAAGUCCAUUGCAUCUCAAAGCUCCUCCAGAUCUCGUCAUGCAUGAUUUGGUUCAUGAUCUUGCAUCAAUAAUUGCUGCUGAUGAAUUUAUUGAUCUGGAUGCUACCAAAAGCACCAGCUGGAACAAAGCUCGUUACUGCCGACAUGCACAGUUAACCAACUUUAAGAAUGAUCCCAAGGUUUUCAAAUAUAUUCCACGCAAGCUUAGGUCCCUCCACUUCAGGGAUUUGGGGGUACUGCAACUCCCGAAAAAGGCAUUUUCUCGAUCCAAGUACUUACGUGUCUUGGACCUAAGUGGGCAUUCAGCUAAAGGCCAAUCUGCUCCAAGGAGUGUGGUGCUGCCAUCUUCAAUUAAUCAAUUGAAGCUAAUUAGGUAUAUUGAUGCCACAGGCUUGCCAAUAAAAUCACUUCCUAAGCAUUUUCAUGCACUUCAAAACAUGGAAACUCUUAUUCUGUCCAAUUCCUUGCUUCAAACCUUGCCUGACAGUAUUUGUCGCCUCAACAAACUUUGCUAUUUGGACCUAUCUUUCAGUAGCAGCCUCAGUAAGCUACCUGCACCGCUAGGAGAACUCUCUCAACUCUUUUUUCUCAAUCUAUCCGGGUGUUGUACACUGCAAGAAUUGCCUGAAUCAAUUUGCAAGCUUAAAUGCUUGCAUCACCUAGAUAUGUCAGGCUGUUGUGGUCUUCAAAAGCUCCCUGAUGAAUUUGGUAGCCUUCUUAAACUCUCAUUCUUAAACUUGUCGAGUUGUUCAAAGCUCACCAAACUACCUGACAAUGUUAGCUUUCCAUGCUUAGAACAUCUGAACCUAUCAAGUUGCCAUGAGCUAGAAAACCUGCCAACUGAUUUCGGCCACAUUCGGAAACUUGAGUUCCUGAACCUCUCUGGUUGCUACAAGGUUUCAAUGCUGCCAGGAUCAUUCUGCCAACUUAAUCACUUGAAAUACCUAGAUCUUUCAGAUUGUCAUAACCUUGAAGAACUCCCUGAAUGUUUUGAUCACCUCUAUGAGCUUCAAUAUUUGAACCUAACAAAUUGUCCUAAGAUCCAACAAUUGCCUGAGUCGCUAUGCAAGUUGUUUAAGUUGAGGUGUCUCUAUUUGUCAUACUGUCUAGGGCUCAGUGAGCUCCCCUCCUCAUUUGGUGACCUUAAGCUUCAAAUACUGCACAUGAAUGGCCUUCCAAAAAUGUAUAACUGCCCUGAUAGCAUUGGCGACAUGACUAGUCUCACCCAGUUGGUGGUUGACAGUGCAACUUCUAAUUUGCUUGAAAAGGUUCUAGCCAUUCGAAAGCGUCUAAAUCUUGUGGGCACAAUAGUGCAUCAGGUACAUGAGAUAGAGAGUAGAGGAUGCAGCAGUAUAGUGGAUCUUGCAGGAUUGACUUGUUCAGAUCUGUUACUUAGAGGCCUUCAGAAUGUCAAGCGUCCAGAAGAUGCAGACAGAGUCAAACUGCGUGAUAAAUCAGAUAUUCGAGCACUAAAACUUCAGUGGGAAAGUGAAGGAGCUGAAUCUGUGCUGGACAGGCUCAUACCUCCUCGGACUCUUGAAAACUUUUGGUUACUUGGGUAUAGGAGCAAGGAUUUCCCUGACUGGAUGUUGCACAUCUCGUCCUACCUCCCUUUUCUCAGUGAACUGACCCUUCAUGGUUUGGAAGCAUGUGAUUGUCUUCCUCCAUUCGGGGCACUGCCAAAUUUAAGAAGGCUGUGUGUGAGGAACAUUCCCAACAUUAGGAAAGUCGGUAAGGAAUUCUACGGAGAUGGCAGAACUUGUAUGAAACUAAGAGUGCUGAUAUUGGUGUCGAUGGAGAAUUUGGUGGAAUGGUGGACAACAGAGUCAAGUACAGAAAACGAAGAGUUUCUUAUCCCUAAUUUGCAUCUUUUGGAGGUACUGGACUGCCCAAGGUUGAAGUUUCUACCAUAUCCCCCAAGAAGUAUGAUUUGGGCUUUGAGCAACAGCGAGACAGUUUUGCCAGAACGGGGAUUUGGAAAACUCUCGUCUUCCGUUCGCCCUUCUAAGGUGAUUCUAAAGCAUUGUAGUUUCACUGAAGACAAGUGGGAUAGACUUCAAUACUUUCCUUCACUUGAGAUAUUUCAUUUAGACUCCGUCAGUGGUUUCCGGACUUUGUCAGAGGUCAUCCUAUGCUUCACCUCUCUCACUGGACUACAUUUAUGGUCGUUGAAGGACCUGGAGACACUCCCGACAUGGUUAGGCCACCUGGGUUCGCUACAAGUCUUUGACAUCCGAGAUUGUUGCAAUGUGACAUCUUUGCCUGAAAGCAUGAAGAACCUUGCCGCUCUUAAAAAACUGAAGUUAAAAAAGUGCAAAGGCCUGGAGAUGCUGCCGGAAUGGUUGGGACAGUUAAGUUCUCUAGAAGAAAUUUUAAUCGACGAUUGCCCCAAACUAACAUCUUUGCCUGAAAGCAUGAAGGACCUCAUCGCUCUUACGGAUCUGACGUUGUUAGGGUGCAAUGGCCUGGAGAUGUUACCGGAAUGGUUGGGACAGUUGACUUGCCUAGAAGAACUUAUCAUCGGCCUUUCUCCCAACCUGACAUAUUUGCCUGAAAGCAUACGGAAUCUCUCUGCUUUGAAGGUACUCAAAAUUGUUGCAUGUCCAAGUCUAGUUGCCAGGUGCGAAGGGGAGAAUGCCCACAAGAUUCGUCACAUCCCCAGAGUCGAAUUCUGGCGUCCAAGGAGUUAA